GUAGAAUGAGCUAGCAGGAUCUUGAUGUUCAGGGAGAAGAGAAGUAUGCACUGAAAUGCCAGUGUUCAGAACCCCACCGUUUAGGACAAGAUCUUCGGUACUAACUGAAGACAGAGGACAGUGUCAGCUUUGAACCCAGAGGCAGUGCAGUGUUGCUGUGACAGGUCCCUAGUGUCGACACCAGCCAGUCCUGGCUGUUUGGGGAGCUAACUGGAUGCCGAUUUGGGGUCUCCGUGCCCACCUCAAGGACACCAGGGCAGCGUGGGUGCAAAUGCAGUGAUGGCGGGGCCUGUUAGCAUUUGAGCCUUUCUGCUCGCCAGCCGGAAAUGCCCCAAGUCUCUGCUGUCAACUAGGGAAGUUGCCAUCCUAGCAGCCACCAGAGGCCACUGGGGAUCAAGGAGACAGCAACUCAGUUGAUUUUUCUGACCACAGGCAUAACCUUGCCAAGAACCCUGGAGCUGCAAGGUUCUUGGGCAUCAGAACCAGCUGGGACACUUUCCUCAUUCUCUUGCUGUGAAAGCUCUGGUUGGAUUCUUGGUUCUCAUUAUGGCACAGGAGUCUGUUUUAUAGCUGAUCAGUGACCUUUGAUUUCAGCUGCACCACUGGCUAUGCACCUCUCCCCUCCCAACAUUCCUGGAGAGUAUUUUCACAAUUGAUUAUUGUUUCCCCAACCCAAGCCUGGAAGAAGGCAAUUAGCGCUCCCUUGUCUCUGUCUUCCUCCAGACCUAAUGCCUGAGGUCCUCCAGCCAUCUUUGCCUGCAGUUUCAGGACUGUUUACAAACCUAACGCACCUAUUGGUACCUGGAGGUGCCAAUAAAUUGGAGCAUGAAGAUUUUCUUCUGGAAUGUUUCAUUGUUCUCAUGUUGAAAAGUGAAAUGCAAACACUUGAAGACUCUGAGCCUUAUUUCUUUACGUGCUGAAAAGAAAUCUGCCAUACUAUUUGGUCUUCUUGAGGGAUGGCUCUACAGGAUGUGACUGCUGGAGGCUGCCUUUUAAGAAGAUCCUGGUUUCAAAAUGCGUAACCUUUUGUGUUUAAUUGCAGCGAAAUGCCCCUAAGUGCAAAAUGUGAAUUCCUUGACUUUGUUCUACUUGGUGAAUUUCUAUGCUAUCUCCUGUCUGCGCCAGUUGGUGAAUGAUGUACCCGACAGUGCUCUAUAAAAGGUGCAC
rnacentral:lncRNA from 1 species